rnacentral:misc_RNA from 1 species
UCAAACUUGGUCAUUUAGAGGAAGUAAAAGUCGUAACAAGGUAUCUGUAGGUGAACCUGCAGAUGGAUCAUUUCGAUGAAAAACCUUUUUUCAGAGGUGUGGCUCGCACCUGUCCAACUAAACUUGAGCUACCUUUUUCAACACGGUUGCAUCGGUCGGCCUGUCAAACAGUGCGACGCAAGGAGAAAAUCCUCGCGUCUGCUGGGCGACGGACAGACAAUUUUAUUGAACACUUUUUGAUGAUCUAGGAUUUGAAGGAGAAAAAGUCAUUUUUACAAAUGAAAUCGACUGGUAAUGCGGUCGUCUAAUUUUAAAAACAACUUUUGGCAACGGAUCUCUUGGUUCUCCCAUCGAUGAAAACGCAGC